AUACAGAGGGUGCGAGCGUUAAUCGGAAUUACUGGGCGUAAAGCGCGCGUAGGCGGCUUAUUAAGUCAGAUGUGAAAUCCCCGGGCUCAACCUGGGAACUGCAUCUGAUACUGGUAAGCUAGAGUUUGGGAGAGGGAAGUAGAAUUUCAGGUAUAGCGGUGAAAUGCAUAGAGAUCUGAAGGAAUACCAGUGGCGAAGGCGACUUCCUGGCCUAAAACUGACGCUGAGGUGCGAAAGCGUGGGUAGCAAACGGGAUUAGAAACCCGGGUAGUCC
rnacentral:rRNA from 1 species